AUGACAGAGGAAGAGGAAGAGAAGCUUUUGGCUCUGAAAGACUUCAUGAUGAAAUCGAACAAAGCAAAGGCCAAUAUAGUGGAUCAGAGUCAUCUCCAUGACAGUAGUCAGAAAGGUGUAAUUGAUUUGGCAGCCUUAGGUAUAACUGGGAGACAAGUUGACCUUGUUAAAACCAAACAGGAACCAGAUGACAAGCGAGCUAGAAAACAUGGGAAACAAGACUCAAAUGUCAGUGAAGAGUGGAAAAGCAUGUUUGGCUCUCUGGAGCCACCGAGCAUGCAGCAGGCCCUGCCUAAAGGGAGUGAUCAGGAGGUGAUGCCGGCUGGGAAGCCGCCUCGUUCCGAGUCCUCCGCUGCUAUCUGCGUCCCUUUGUCGACUUCUCCGCAGGUUCCAGAAGUGACAAAUGUCCAAAAUAGAAAACCAACAGUACAGGUUUUCAGUAGCACAAUUUUACCGUCCACUUCCCAGAUCCGGAUCACAACGUGUAAAGCUGAGCUUCAGCGGCUCAUACAGCAGAAACGGGAGCAGUGCAGUGCCGAGAGGAUAGCUAAGCAGAUGAUGGGAAACGCCGAGUGGGAGAGUAAACCCCCACCACCUGGUGCGUGUGCUGUUGAGGGGCGGUGGUAUUCCAGCCCGGGUGCCUGGGCCUGGAAUCCAGUGGAAGAAACUGGUGACAGUUACUGGCAGAGGAAGUGAUCCCCAAGCUGUCACUUUGAAAGCCCACGAUCCCUAAUGUUCUUCCCAGGUGGUCCAGGGGCUGAGGCUCCACGCUCCCAGUGCAGGGGAGCCAGGUUUGCUUCCUGGUCCUGGAACUAGAUCCUGCAUACUGCACCUGAGACCCGGUGCAACCUAAGUAUACAUGUAUAUACAAAAGAAAGCCCACAGGAAGAGCCGAGAAGUGAGAAAUCCCAGCUCGGUGCCUGUGGAGUUCGGGUCUUCUCGGCUCUGGCAGUGCCUGUAGGCCUGUCAUCUGCUGUUCUCACUUGCCGGUGGCCCACGUUCCCCAUUGGUAGUGCUGGGUUUUACCUGCUUAGUGCCUGCUUAGUGUCAUGCCACUCUCCCACUAAAUGUCAGACUUCCUUGAGUAAACUCUGGCAUUCAACUUCUGAGGGGUUUAAUAGCUAUGAAUUUCUUUAAAAAAUAGGUAGAAACAUUUGGAAAAUAAUGAGUGCUUUAAAAAUAAACCAAAAUCACCUAUAACCAACCAUCACUCAGCAAUCAUCAACAUUAAGAUUUUUGGAAAAACACUUCUGCAUUCUGAUAAAAUUUGGAGAAACUUAAGAGAGAUUUCAGAUGGAAAUUGUGGCUCAGUUGUGUUAACAGACAUGCCCAGUGUUAUGUGAUGGAGCUCAUCUCUGACAUUGGAUUGGCAGAUUUUUAAAAACAUUUUUAAUGAGUUUCUGUAUAGAUUUUAAUAAUAAAAAUGUAUCUUGAAAACUGAGAUGAAAUAUAUGCUUAUGGGUUAGUCAGUACAGUCGCUCAGUCGUGUCUGACUGUGACGCCAUGGGCCACAGCACGCCAGGCCUCCCUGUCCAUCACCUACUCCCAGAGCUUGCUCAAACUCUUGUCCAUUGAGUUGGUGAUGCCAUCCAACCAUCUCAUCCUCUGUCAUCCCCUUUUCCUCCUGCCUUCAAUCUUUCCCAGCAUCAGGGUCUUUUCAGAUGAGUGAGUUCUUUGCAUCAGGUGGCCAAAGUAUUGGGUAGAGAUUGAAAAACCACAUGAGUUCCCACAGACUUCCAUUGUGAGUGUAGGAAAAAUGCCAGUAGAGACCAAUGAUUUAAAGACUUCAGAAAUCUUAAUAAGUGGUCUUUUGAGUCACAUAAUUUUUUUUUUCUUUUAAGAAAAAUACCCUGGAAUGUUUGUUUCUAAAAUACAGUUCAAUACGGUUUAUCAGUCCGGCUUUAAAAACAAAAACUGUCGAUCACACACUGUCUAUUUGACUAUAGAAUCUGUCUUUAUAAGUGGCAUUUUAUACUUAAGUGAAGCUAUACGUUUUAUUCUGUAAUCCCAGGAAAGGUAUCAGAUUUUGUGGUUCAUGAAAUGUGCCAUGACUGUUGGACUUUUGAUGUUUUUUCUUUCCACACUUGAGUGGUUUUGUGAAAUAGAUUUUCUCUUGGGGGAAAUGUUCAACCUAGCCUGCUCUAUUAUCUAGACUUCAUGGCAGAGUGUUUUUGAGUAUUCUCAAAUCCAGCAUAUCCUCCCUGGAAAUCACACUCAGCUGUUCUUUCCACACAUGUGAGCUAGAGAUGCAGGGGGAAUGGUAUUUUUCUGCUGACUGUGCCAGGUUCGGCAAUGGUCUUGGUUUCCGCUUUGUUUCUUGGUAAAAGAAAUGAGUUGAUUUUAAGAUGACGUUGUUACUCAGCAGGCAUAGAUCCUUCAGUAUAGCUUUUUCUAAAAAAUUAUUUAUUUUUAACUGGAGGAUGAUUGCUUUACAUUACUAUAUUGACUUCUGGUUGCAAAAAGAUAUGACACUGAAAUAUGAACUCUCCAGGUUGGUAGGUGCCCAUUAUGCUACUGGGGAAGAGCAGAGAAAUAACUCCAGAAGGAAUUAAGAGGCUACGCCAAAGCGGAAACAACUCCAAGUUGUGGAUAUGACUGGUGGUGAAACUAAAGUCCGGUGCUGUAAAGAACAACAUUGCAUAGGAAGCUGGAAUGUUAGGUCCGUGAAUCAGGGUAAAUUGGAAGUGGUCAAACAGGAGAUGGCACGAGUGAACAUUGAUAUUCUAGGAAUCAGUGAACUAAGAUGGACUGGAAUGGGUGAAUUUAACUCAGAUGACCAUCAUCUCCGGUGCUGUGCCUGCGGACAUGCCCUGUGGAACACUCCAGGUCCUGAAUCUAGAAGUGCAGCCCCCUCUGUAGGAGUUCCAGACAGGACGCAGACACCAGGGGGCACCAUCACGCACUCCCACUUCUGUAUCCACUCACAGCCAGCGGGAGGUCGAGAGGAGCCAUAGCCCAGGGCUUUAGCUGAUUACCCUCCUAUUCAGGACUUGCCAGGUGGCUCAGCAGUAAAAAAGUCCGCUGCCAAGGUAGGAGAUUCGGGUUCGAUCCCUGUGUCGGGCACAUCCUGUGAAGGAGGAAAUGGCCUCUCACUCCAGUAUUCUUGCCUGGAACAUGCCGUGGGCAGAGGAUCCUGGAGGGCUACAGUCCAUAGGAUCGCAAACGGUCGGACUUGGCUGAGUGCCUGAGCACAUCCUAUUUUGGACUUCAUCUGUCAUAGGUAAAUCCUGACUACAUGUCUUUGUUCCUGAAUUUUACUUUCAGGAGAAAAGGUAAAGAUCGGUCAAAUGAACUGAUGCAAGGGAUUCUGUAAAAGGAAAGAAAAUAUCCUUGCAGGGUAUGACAGAAGCGAGUCAGCAUGGAAGACCUCAAGUUAAAUCGAAUGUCCUCAUGGGCCUGCAUGUUCAGUGACUCAGUUGUGUCCAACUCUCUCUGACUCCUUGAACUGUAGCCACCAGGAUCCUCUGUCCAUGGGAACUCCCAGGCAGCAAUCCUGGAGUGUGUUGCCGUUUCCUCCUCCAGGGGCUCUUCCUGACCCAGGAAUCCAACCCUUGUCUUGUGUCUCCUGCAUUGGCAGGUGGAUUCUUUACCGCUGUGCCACCUAGGAAGGCCAAUGCGCUCAGAAACAACGCUAUUUACACGUUUGUGUUAAGUGAGUUCUGGAAAGAAAAUAAAAGAUAUUUGAAUUUGCGGGAGGAGAGGAGGUUUUGAGUGCUAAUCCCCAUGUCACUGGGAUUUCUGACCACCCAUUUGUGGGUAAGGGCAGUGUGACUUACUGUCCUGGCUGUGACCUUGGCAUAGUGGCUUUGGAGCCAGACACACUGGGUGUGAUUACAGGAGGAGGAGGGGGAGGAUGGGACGAGGAGGGAGGAGGCGAUGAAGACAGGGAGCAGGGGAGGAGGAGGAAGGGGAAGCAGAGGAGGGGUGGAGGACGAGGGGGAGGAUGGGAGGAGGAGGGGGAGGAGGAGGGGGAGGAGGGGAAGAAGGGGAGGCUCAGGGGGAGGAGGGAAAG
ensembl:lincRNA